rnacentral:pre_miRNA from 1 species
AAUCGUUGGAUGAGUGUGAGGCUCUGGAUUGAUAUCAUUCAAUCCGAGCCCCACAUUCAUUAGGUGCUCGU